CAUUAAGAAGCUAAACUCAGCAUUAACCUUUUAAGUUAAAGAUUGGAAAACAUGAAUUUCCCUUAAUGA
rnacentral:tRNA from 1 species